ACCAAUUAAAAGAAUGUGACAACUCAGGGCUAAAAAACAGUUUAAUAUCAAAUACAUCACAGCCAGACAGGGGACCAGACAAAAGUAGAUUAACCGGUACCAGCAUUUUAGUACAUUUUAGUUUUGAAAAUGAUUUUAAGGUGGUAGAGGAGACAAUUGCAAGCCCGCUAAAGCUUAAAAUCCGUAAAUGUUCACAUUACCUAGCUAAUCUUUGAAUUGGGUUGGACAUAAGUUGGUGCAUAAGCAAACAUUAGAGUUGCAUUAGAGAAUAAUCCAUUUGGUUUAUUGGCUUGACCACAUAACAUACGUUGAAAUCCUUGAGUUGUCACAGAUAAACAGUAUCCAUGCCACAGCAGCAAUAACGUGGGAGGGUCAACAAAAAAUUACAAAGAUACCCUUAAGAGUUCUCUCAAGGUGUGUGAGGGAAACGAUCCUUUCUCAUUGCCUGAGGCCGUGAGUGUCGUGUUUCAUGAUAUAAGGCAAGGAGCUCGGUAAUCAACAAAAAAACGUAGAUCUAAGAAUAAAAAAAACGGAAAGUGAGAAAAGAAGCAGGCAUAUCUGCAGCAAACCCAAGUUACCAAUGCCGUCUAUGAGGUCGGCUUUUUUAAAGUAAAAAAUUGGACUCCAUAGCCAUCUUCAAAUUCAUAGAAAAUGGGAAAUAAUCUCAUCUUAAGUUACGAAGGAGGAGCUAUAUAUUUAAGCUAGCUGAUCUGCUCAUUAACUGAUUAGCUAUCGGUUACGUUAAUGUGCGAAAUCGACAUUUUGCCUCUAAAUAUAGGCAUAAUGUUCAUAUUAACGGUUUAAGUACUCUUAGGGUUAGGAUAGGGUUGCAAGCUCCUGCAAAUAACUAUAAAAUAAUAAUUCAAUUUAUUAAGCGCUGUUAACAAAGCACUAUAAACUCUUGCAGAGCUGACUUUUUGUGUCAAAACGCAAGAGUUAAGUCGAAGAUAACUACAACAUUAAGUAGUACCUGGACAAGUGGAUCCUGGUAGUUGGUGAUAAAUACAAAAUGUGUACUCUUCUAAUUCUGUUCUAAUGUUGCUGCUCGGCGGUCUGGAAGUUCAACAAGAAAACAGCGCCCACUUUCUCUUUCUACUGCGCCAAAUACCUAUAUUGUUCAUACCUCACAACCAGCAAAGACAUACCUGACUUACUAGGCGUCCCAUUUUUACCACUGGAGCAAUACACCACAGAUAUAUAUAUAUAUAUGGAGAGAGAGCAUAAAGGAAGGGUCACGGAUUGCAGAUGUCAUACACAACAGAAGCAGAAAGAAGGGUAAAAAUGCAACGGCGCCUGGUGAUUAUAUAUACCCAACCUGCGAUCGCAGCAGUGUAUCAAGGAUUGGCCUCUUUAGUCACACAAGAAGUUGCAAAGGAUUUGAUUUGGUGAUCCCUCUUCAGAAACAUCAGAUCAAAGGAAUGUACAUGCUGCUGAUAUAGAAAAAGUUUCUGACUGCUUACAGAUCAGUGUUCUUAGUUCUGCUAUUGAUUUACUAUUGCAUAAUAAAUAAACAUGUAAUGAUCAAUCACAUUUUUAUACCAAGUUCAUCUAAUGAUUUACACAGCAUAUUAUCAGCAUUCACAGUUCAUCUAAUGAUCUACAUAUGAAGCAGCACCAUGCAGAGCUAACAUCACCUACUGAAGAGAGUUUCCAUCAUGCUUUAGCAACAAUCCAAAAACAAAAUGAAAAAGUGGUUUCUUUGUUUGGGACAAGUCCUGAAAGGCCUUCAGAAUCUGGGAGCACACUAUUGUUAACAAGCAGUGUGUCAUAUGACCAGCACAAUGACCAACAGCCUUUACUUUUCGAACCAAAGUCAGGAUUGUCAGACUUCUGCUAGAUGUUGAUCUUUUCAUCACAACACCAAUAACUUCUUCUUGGAGUCAAGUAACAGUGUAUAUCACCUGAAAAAGCUAUUUAAAUUCCCUUAAAGAUCACAAAUUAAUGCUGAUGACAUAAAGCACAUUUAUCCACGAAAUCUUAUGAACACAUAAUAUUAUGUUGUACAACUAAAUAGUGGUGUCUGGAAAUUUAGGCAGUGUGUAUGUAGUGUAUAUGCUUAUUUAUUAUUUAUCUGUUUCUUAAACAUAGGCUUAUGUUCCCCGCGCUACCCAAACUAUAAUUCGGAGUGUGAAACAUAACAGAUUAACAGGUGCUAUAUUAUGUUUCGUUUAACAAAGAUUUUCUUACACUCUACAUAUUCCUCCCCCCCCCCGAGAGGUGGGCCAGGGGUAGUGGUAAGUAUUAUAAUCACGGACUGAGAAGACCUAACGGCGAGCGAGAAAGGGGUUACGUCGUCACUAGAUCUGUGUCAGCUCAAUACAAUUUUUUCUCUUCGUGGUGUAGUCUUAAUCAUAAACAGAUAAAAAUUAAAGUUUUAAGAUACUGUUAAUCUUCUAUAAUAAAAUGCUUAUUUCUUAUAGUAAUACGUUUCCCGUACUAGAUCUUUAUAAUUUAUUGUCAUUGCUCUAUAUAGUAUAGAUCACUUACUCACAAUGCAUACUUUUGUUGAAAAGAAAAAUAAUUAAACAUAUCGUGUAGAUAUA